CCUACGGGAGGCUGUAGUGAGGAAUAUUGGUCAAUGGACGCAAGUCUGAACCAGCCAUGCCGCGUGCAGGAAGACGGCUCUAUGAGUUGUAAACUGCUUUUGUACGAGGGUAAACGCAGAUACGCGUAUCUGUCUGAAAGUAUCGUACGAAUAAGGAUCGGCUAACUCCGUGCCCGCAGCCGCGGUAAUACGGAGGAUUCAAGCGUUAUCCGGAUUUAUUUGGGUUUACGGGUGCGUAGGCGGUCGGAUAAGUUAGAGGGGAAAUCCCGAGGCUCAAAUUCGGAAUUGCCUUUGAUACGGUUCGGCUAGAGAGUAGUUGCGGUAGGCGGAAUGUAUGGUGUAGCGGUGAAAUGCUUAGAGAUCAUACAGAACACCGAUUGCGAAGGCAGCUUACCAAGCUACUUCUGACGCUGAGGCACGAAAGCGUGGGGAGCAAACAGGAUUAGAUACCCCGGUAGUC
rnacentral:rRNA from 1 species